rnacentral:rRNA from 1 species
GAUGAACGCUGGCGGCGUGCCUAAUACAUGCAAGUCGAGCGAACGGACGAGAAGCUUGCUUCUCUGAUGUUAGCGGCGGACGGGUGAGUAACACGUGGAUAACCUACCUAUAAGACUGGGAUAACUUCGGGAAACCGGAUCUAACACCGGAUAAUAUUUUGAACCGCAUGGUUCAAAAGUGAAAGACGGUCUUGAUGUCACUUAUAGAGGGAUCCGCGCUGCAUUAGCUAGUUGGUAGGGUAACGGCUUACCAAGGCAACGAUGCAUAGCCGACCUGAGAGGGUGAUCGGCCACACUGGAACUGAGACACGGUCCAGACUCCUACGGGAGGCAGCAGUAGGGAAUCUUCCGCAAUGGGCGAAAGCCUGACGGAGCAACGCCGCGUGAGUGAUGAAGGUCUUCGGAUCGUAAAACUCUGUUAUUAGGGAAGAACAUAUGUGUAAGUAACUGUGCACAUCUUGACGGUACCUAAUCAGAAAGCCACGGCUAACUACGUG